rnacentral:rRNA from 1 species
AUUGAACGCUGACGGCAGGCUUAACACAUGCAAGUCGAACGCCCGUAGCAAUACGGGAGUGGCGGACGGGUGAGUAACGCGUGGGAACGUGCCCUGAGGUACGGAAUAACUGCGGGAAACUGCAGCUAAUACCGUAUGAGCCCCGCAAGGGGGAAAGAUUUAUCGCCUUAGGAGCGGCCCGCGUCGGAUUAGCUUGUUGGUGGGGUAACGGCCUACCAAGGCGACGAUCCGUAGCUGGUCUGAGAGGACGAUCAGCCACACUGGGACUGAGACACGGCCCAGACUCCUACGGGAGGCAGCAGUGGGGAAUCUAGCGCAAUGGGCGAAAGCCUGACGCAGCGACGCCGCGUGAGGGAAGAAGGCCUUCGGGUUGUAAACCUCUUUCAGCAGGGACGAAGCCACUCGGGUUAAUAGCCCAGAGGGUGACGGUACCUGCAGAAGAAGCCCCGGCUAAC